rnacentral:lncRNA from 1 species
UAAUCUUCUAGUUAUAAAAAAUCACUUUUACAAGAUUUUUACUGUAUUAAUGUGUUGCAUAAUUUAUGCAUGAAUGUAUUUAGUAUCUCGAUUGAUUUCAAGGAAAAUGGGAGUAAACCAUUAAAAUAUUCAUUUAUAUAGUAAUAUAGUGUCAAUGUACUUUCUAUUACAAAUUGAAUAGUUUAUAUUUUCAAAUAAUUGCCAAGACUUUUAAAGUAGUUAGGGGAAAUGAUAUAAACAGAAGUUUAAAAACUUACAAAGUACAAAAUGCGUCAUAUGUAAUAUUACUAUAUAUAAUUGUUAUUAAACAUCAUUGUGUAUAACACACACACACACACACACACACACACACACACACACACACACACACACACACACACAUAUACCAUUGACAAAAUUAUUAGAUACCUUAAUUUUUUCUGAUAUUCUUGAAAUUGAAUAAGCGUAAGCUUCCUAUUUAUGUGUUGUUUUUAUACAAUUGAUCUUGCGAAAGAUUUAAGUGAGAUCAAGUGAUCAAGUGACCAAGUGAGAUAUAAAGUUUCUUAAGGACGCGGAAAUAUUAUUUACAGAACUCUUCAUAUCAUAUUUCGACUUCGAUUAGCACAGACGUGAUUAUUCCCAUUUCUCCAUUAUUUGCUAAGCUUCUUUGUCUAGUUAUUGUUAAAAAUUUCAAAAUAUGCCUCAAAAACGUAAAUUGAGGUGAAGUAAAAUGAACUCAGAUUCUUAUGUUGCACAAAAGGACUAUCUUAAGUAAAUAGUAAAAGAAAGUAAAAUGCUCACGUUGUGCAGUUUAAACCACUAUAAAAAGAUAUGAUAAAACUAAACAGCUUAAAUCCAGAUCUGGAAGAAGAAAACGUAGAACUAGUACCAGAGAAGAUAAAUAUUUGAAGCAAAUUAGCUGCUGCUUUUAAAAGUCAUCAUAAAAUUACUAUUUCUGUUAAAACCGUCAGCAGAUGCUUCAAUGAAUUUGAAAUUAUAGCAAGAAAGGUCAGAAAAAACCAUGAUCCUCAGAGGCAAAUAGAAAAGAGCGAUUUGCAUGGGCAAAAAAAUACAGGAUUUAAACAGCAUCAGACUGGGACAAAUAUAGUCUGAUAAAAGCAACAUUCAGGUAAAUUUAAUAGUGUUAUAAUAAGUAAAAUAUAUUUUUAAUCGAAAGUACGAAAACACAAUAUAAAAACGUUUACUUGUACAUGUAUAAAUUUUAUCUUGUUAUUCGUAACUAUUUGAUACUCCUGGAGUCAUAUAUGUGUAUUGUAAAGCUAAAGAAACAUAUAAUUAAAAAUGUAUCGUUUCUACUGUCAAAUAUGGUGGCAAUAGUAUCAUGAUUUGAGACAUGGCAUCAGCCGACAUAGAAAUUCCAUUCAUUUGUACAGGUUGAAUGAAUUCAGAAACGUAUACAACCAUAUUGGAGCAGACAUUAAACUCUUUGAUGACAAAAAUAUUUGGAGAGGAGAGAGAAUAAGUGAUGUUCCAACAAAACAAUGCUCCCUGUCAUGCUGCACAUAAAAGCAUUAUGUGGUUACAACGAAAUAAAAUUGAAUUAUUGGAAUGGCCAUCACAGAGUCCAGAUCUCAAUCCAACUGAACAUCUGUGGACUCAUGUAAAGACAAAUAUUCAUGCUCGCAAAUGCAGUUCAAUUAAUUAACUCAAGAAGAUAAGUAGGUAAGAAGAAAUCAUUGUAACUGUGGAAUCAUACACAGCUGACUAUACGAUAGUGAAGAGGGGAAUUUUUCAACAAAAUCUUUGUAAUAAAAUUUGUAUGAGAAUUA